rnacentral:misc_RNA from 1 species
GCCGCCACCGCCACCGCCAUCGCCGCCUCCUGUUACAGACUAUCCACAACUUCCAAAGCUUUUCCUCCGCUGCGUCGCCGGACGAACAGAAGCCUCAUCUUCCUCCCCUCCUGCAGCACCAGCAACAGUAGCGUUGGCGUCGGCGGGGGCGGCGGCACACCCGCAACCGCCUCUCCUCUCCGCCCGCCCUCAUCCCCACUCCGCACCAACCGAAUGAAGAAGAAGAACAAGUCGGAUCGAGAUCCGACAACCUGCAUCCCAUCCCCGGAGGAGGCCUCCAUCUCG